CCAUGACUAGCGGGCGCGAUUCGCCCUUAGAGUUUGAUCCUGGCUCAGGAUGAACGCUAGCGGCAGGCCUAACACAUGCAAGUCGAGGGGUAACGAUGAGUGCUUGCACUCAGGCGACGACCGGCGCACGGGUGAGUAACGCGUAUGCAACCUGCCUUCUACUGGAAGAUAGCCCCCGGAAACGGGGAUUAAUAUUCCAUAGUAUUGUUUUCACAGAGGUUUAGACAAUUAAAGCUACGGCGGUAGAAGAUGGGCAUGCGUCCUAUUAGUUAGUUGGUAGGGUAAUGGCUUACCAAGGCAUCGAUAGGUAGGGGGCCUGAGAGGGUGGUCCCCCACACUGGUACUGAGACACGGACCAGACUCCUACGGGAGGCAGCAGUGAGGAAUAUUGGUCAAUGGAGGCAACUCUGAACCAGCCAUGCCGCGUGCAGGAAGAAUGCCCUAUGGGUUGUAAACUGCUUUUAUUUAGGAAGAAUCUCCCGAACGUGUUCGGGAUUGACGGUACUAAACGAAUAAGGACCGGCUAACUCCGUGCCAGCAGCCGCGGUAAUACGGAGGGUCCAAGCGUUAUCCGGAAUCAUUGGGUUUAAAGGGUCCGCAGGCGGGCCAGUAAGUCAGUGGUGAAAUCUCUCAGCUCAACUGGGAAACUGCCAAUGAUACUGCUGGUCUUGAAUUCGGUCGAAGUGGGCGGAAUGUGUCAUGUAGCGGUGAAAUGCAUAGAUAUGACACAGAACACCGAUAGCGAAGGCAGCUCACUAGGCCUGAAUUGACGCUCAGGGACGAAAGCGUGGGGAGCGAACAGAAUUAGAUACCCUGGUAGUCCACGCCGUAAACGAUCAUUACUCGAUAUCAGCGAUAUACUGUUGGUGUCUAAGCGAAGUGAUAAGUAUGCACCUGGGGAGUACGAUCGCAAGUGAACUCAAAGGAUGACGGGGCCGCCAGCGUGAGCAUGUGUUAAUCGAUGAUACGCGAGACCUACAGGCUAAUGCAGAUGACAGGG
rnacentral:rRNA from 1 species